UUCACAAUAGCAAAGACUUUGAGGAUUUUUAAUGAGACAAGCAAAAUUACAGGAAAACCAAUGGGAUAAUUCAGACAAGGAUAACUCACCUCUGAAAAAGAGGAGAAGUGAAAAGCUCUAUCAUUGCUCAGCCUAAAAAUCGGCGUGUUAAUUAGCUGUUCAUGGUGGUGCACAGCUUUAAUCCCAGCUACUCAGGAGGCUGAGGCAGAAUCACCUGAACCCGGGAGGCGGAGGUUGCAGUGAGCCAAGAUCACGCCAAUGCAUGCCAGUCUGGGCCAGAUUCCGUCUCAAAACAAAACAAAAAUCUGCAUGUUAAUAUCUCACUCAGGGCAGGGUGAAAAGGGGAGUGCUAGGGGCUAGAAGUUGCAUUGUUACUUGGCAUAAAUCUUGGUGGCCAUGCGAAGGCAUACACCUAUAGGGACUUGAAUAAAAACGGCAUGAAUAGGGAACAUUUGGUCUGGGAUGCCACAUUCAGCCAUUCAGCGUACAGUGCCUUUCUCAAGGAGGUGUCGUUUAUGUGAACUAAAAUAUAAAUUUCACCUUUCUGAGAAGAGUAAUGUACAGCAUGCACUGCAUAUGUGGUGUCCCUAGGGAUGGGGCUGUAGCUGCGAGCAUGGUGAUGCCUGUUUUGCAUCCUGUGCACCCACUCCUCAGUGCUGGGCUACUUCAAGGAACUUUUUGUGCCUUCUAGACGACUACACAUAAGAACUGUGGACUCCUGAGAAAACGCAUGCACUUUGGUUCCUUAAGAAUUUAUCUACUUUUGCCAAAUGAGGCUUGGCUCAAAUAAGAAAUACGUUGUAUAGAGGCCACAGCCAUUCUUCGUCAGCUGAGACAUUUUACUCCAGAUUCCUCAAUUCUCUAAACUCUUUUCACUGAUCAACUAGUCAUCAUUUGCAAGGAUUGUCCUUUAGUGCUCCCAAAAGGCUCUCCUGCCUCUCAGGUCCCUUCAUUGCUGAUCCACAGUGUCCAUUUUCUGUCAAAGACUAAAACAUUUUCUCAUUGACUGUUAAAAUACCUUUCAAAGCCUUCAGUCACCAAUUUAUGAAGGGUUAAGCAUAGUCCACCCAAGAAUAUUUCACCCUUUUUAAUUAUCUUUUUUCCCCAUUUUUUAAGAGUAUAUUUGAAGAAUGGAAGGGUAUGACAGAAUUGAUACUCAAGAGAUAUCUCCUAGGCUUCUCUCCCCAUUUUCUUUUGGUGACGCUUAACUCUUAACCUAAUGGAGAGAAAUAGAGGGAAAUAAACACACACACACACACACACACACACACACACACACACACACAGAGAGAGAGAGAGAGAGAGAGAGAGGAGAGAGAGAGAGAGAGAACAUGCAAGAGAAAGACAAGCACCAGACUAUGUAAGGCCAUCUGCAGCAUUAAUCUAGUAUACAUGUUUGGGAAGUAGGUUAUAAAUAAGCUAUUUAUAUUGUGGAAAUGUGUAAAAAAUGUUAUAAAUAGUAAGUGAUUAAUACAAUUUUGAUUCCAACUGAAACAGAGGCUACAGCAUAAACACCGAAAGGGAAAAACUAUAAAAAACAAUUACUAUAUGGUUACAGGCAGGAUUUUGGUUUAUGUUUUUUUAGAUUCAGAAUGUAUGAAUAUGUAUAAGACCAUUAAUGUCUGAAAGUAAAAAAAACAGUUGAAGUAUCUUUUCCAUAAUGAAAAACAUUGUAAUAAUAGAAUACAUACAAUCUUUUUGGGGUGGGGGCAACAUUCUGAACAGUAAAAAAAUUUUGUCACUUUGCAAUACUGUAUGUACAUAGAAUUUUCCAAAGUGAUAACUGUUUUUAGUAUAUAAUUUCUAAAACUGUAUUAUAGUGAUGCAUGUUUACUUAUAUAACUUUAAGUGAUAUCUUAAAAUGAAAUAAAAGAGAAUUUAGUUGUUAUCAUACCUCUGUUAUGAUUUCUCAAAAGAAUAGUAUAUUUACUGGUAUUUGUGUUUUUUUUCAGUGAAAUACUGUUUUGUAUUACUCAGCCUUUUUUCUUCCAAUUUAUUAAGGUUUAACUGACAUAAAAAUCAUAUUUAAGGUGUACAACAUGACGUUUUGAUAUAUGUGUACAUUAUGCAAUGAUUAAAUCAAGCUAAUUGAAAAAUAAAAUAUGAACAUAAAAUAUUUAUUUGAAACUCUAAGAAAAAAUUACAAGAUCUCUGUGGUAGGCAGAGUAACAGCCCCCGCCCAAACAAUGUUCACAAUGUAACCCCUGAACUCGUAAGCAU
rnacentral:lncRNA from 1 species